GACGGAGGGGGCUAGCGUUGUUCGGAAUGACUGGGCGUAAAGGGCGCGUAGGCGGUCUAUUAAGUGAGGCGUGAAAGCCCUGGGCUUAACCCAGGAGGUGCGUUUCAUACUGGUAGACUUGAGUACGAGAGAGGAAAGCGGAAUUCCUAGUGUAGAGGUGAAAUUCGUAGAUAUUAGGAAGAACACCAGAGGCGAAGGCGGCUUUCUGGCUCGUAACUGACGCUGAGGCGCGAAAGCGUGGGGAGCAAAC
rnacentral:rRNA from 1 species